UUAAUGUUUUGUAUUGAUUCAGACACAAACUAUUCUGCAUAAAAGCGACGUCCGAAAAGGACGCCGAAGCACAUUGUUUGCUUCCACAGGUUUGAAGGGUAGAAGGUCAAAGACCAUUCAAUAAUGAUCCCUCCGCAGGUUCACCUACGGAGA
rnacentral:misc_RNA from 1 species